AUUCUGUAGCAAGGUUAACCGAAUAGGGGAGCCGAAGGGAAACCGAGUCUUAACCGGGCGUUAAGUUGCAGGGUAUAGACCCGAAACCCGGUGAUCUAGCCAUGGGCAGGUUGAAGGUUGGGUAACACUAACUGGAGGACCGAACCGACUAAUGUUGAAAAAUUAGCGGAUGACUUGUGGCUGGGGGUGAAAGGCCAAUCAAACCGGGAGAUAGCUGGUUCUCCCCGAAAGCUAUUUAGGUAGCGCCUCGUGAAUUCAUCUCCGGGGGUAGAGCACUGUUUCGGCAAGGGGGUCAUCCCGACUUACCAACCCGAUGCAAACUGCGAAUACCGGAGAAUGUUAUCACGGGAGACACACGGCGGGUGCUAACGUCCGUCGUGAAGAGGGAAACAACCCAGACCGCCAGCUAAGGUCCCAAAGUCAUGGUUAAGUGGGAAACGAUGUGGGAAGGCCCAGACAGCCAGGAUGUUGGCUUAGAAGCAGCCAUCAUUUAAAGAAAGCGUAAUAGCUCACUGGUCGAGUCGGCCUGCGCGGAAGAUGUAACGGGGCUAAACCAUGCACCGAAGCUGCGGCAGCGACACUGUGUGUUGUUGGGUAGGGGAGCGUUCUGUAAGCCUGUGAAGGUGUGCUGUGAGGCAUGCUGGAGGUAUCAGAAGUGCGAAUGCUGACAUAAGUAACGAUAAAGCGGGUGAAAAGCCCGCUCGCCGGAAGACCAAGGGUUCCUGUCCAACGUUAAUCGGGGCAGGGUGAGUCGACCCCUAAGGCGAGGCCGAAAGGCGUAGUCGAUGGGAAACAGGUUAAUAUUCCUGUACUUGGUGUUACUGCGAAGGGGGGACGGAGAAGGCUAUGUUGGCCGGGCGACGGUUGUCCCGGUUUAAGCGUGUAGGCUGGUUUUCCAGGCAAAUCCGGAAAAUCAAGGCUGAGGCGUGAUGACGAGGCACUACGGUGCUGAAGCAACAAAUGCCCUGCUUCCAGGAAAAGCCUCUAAGCAUCAGGUAACAUCAAAUCGUACCCCAAACCGACACAGGUGGUCAGGUAGAGAAUACCAAGGCGCUUGAGAGAACUCGGGUGAAGGAACUAGGCAAAAUGGUGCCGUAACUUCGGGAGAAGGCACGCUGAUAUGUAGGUGAAGUCCCUCGCGGAUGGAGCUGAAAUCAGUCGAAGAUACCAGCUGGCUGCAACUGUUUAUUAAAAACACAGCACUGUGCAAACACGAAAGUGGACGUAUACGGUGUGACGCCUGCCCGGUGCCGGAAGGUUAAUUGAUGGGGUCAGCGCAAGCGAAGCUCUUGAUCGAAGCCCCGGUAAACGGCGGCCGUAACUAUAACGGUCCUAAGGUAGCGAAAUUCCUUGUCGGGUAAGUUCCGACCUGCACGAAUGGCGUAAUGAUGGCCAGGCUGUCUCCACCCGAGACUCAGUGAAAUUGAACUCGCUGUGAAGAUGCAGUGUACCCGCGGCAAGACGGAAAGACCCCGUGAACCUUUACUAUAGCUUGACACUGAACAUUGAGCCUUGAUGUGUAGGAUAGGUGGGAGGCUUUGAAGUGUGGACGCCAGUCUGCAUGGAGCCGACCUUGAAAUACCACCCUUUAAUGUUUGAUGUUCUAACGUGGACCCGUGAUCCGGGUUGCGGACAGUGUCUGGUGGGUAGUUUGACUGGGGCGGUCUCCUCCUAAAGAGUAACGGAGGAGCACGAAGGUUGGCUAAUCCUGGUCGGACAUCAGGAGGUUAGUGCAAUGGCAUAAGCCAGCUUGACUGCGAGCGUGACGGCGCGAGCAGGUGCGAAAGCAGGUCAUAGUGAUCCGGUGGUUCUGAAUGGAAGGGCCAUCGCUCAACGGAUAAAAGGUACUCCGGGGAUAACAGGCUGAUACCGCCCAAGAGUUCAUAUCGACGGCGGUGUUUGGCACCUCGAUGUCGGCUCAUCACAUCCUGGGGCUGAAGUAGGUCCCAAGGGUAUGGCUGUUCGCCAUUUAAAGUGGUACGCGAGCUGGGUUUAGAACGUCGUGAGACAGUUCGGUCCCUAUCUGCCGUGGGCGCUGGAGAACUGAGGGGGGCUGCUCCUAGUACGAGAGGACCGGAGUGGACGCAUCACUGGUGUUCGGGUUGUCAUGCCAAUGGCACUGCCCGGUAGCUAAAUGCGGAAGAGAUAAGUGCUGAAAGCAUCUAAGCACGAAACUUGCCCCGAGAUGAGUUCUCCCUGACCCUUUAAGGGUCCUGAAGGAACGUUGAAGACGACGACGUUGAUAGGCCGGGUGUGUAAGCGCAGCGAUGCGUUGAGCUAACCGGUACUAAUGAACCGUGAGGCUUAACCUUACAACGCCGAAGGUGUUU
rnacentral:rRNA from 1 species